rnacentral:rRNA from 1 species
AUUGAACGCUGGCGGCAGGCCUAACACAUGCAAGUCGAGCGGAUGAAGGGAGCUUGCUCCUGGAUUCAGCGGCGGACGGGUGAGUAAUGCCUAGGAAUCUGCCUGGUAGUGGGGAAUAACGUCCGGAAACGGGCGCUAAUACCGCAUACGUCCUGAGGGAGAAAGUGGGGGAUCUUCGGACCUCACGCUAUCAGAUGAGCCUAGGUCGGAUUAGCUAGUUGGUGGGGUAAAGGCCUACCAAGGCGACGAUCCGUAACUGGUCUGAGAGGAUGAUCAGUCACACUGGAACUGAGACACGGUCCAGACUCCUACGGGAGGCAGCAGUGGGGAAUAUUGGACAAUGGGCGAAAGCCUGAACCAGCCAUGCCGCGUGUGUGAAGAAGGUCUUCGGAUUGUAAAGCACUUUAAGUUGGGAGGAAGGGCAGUAAGUUAAUACCUUGCUGUUUUGACGUUACCAACAGAAUAAGCACCGGCUAACUUCGUG